GGGGUAUAGCUCAGCUGGUUAGAGCACUUGCCUUACAAGCAAGGGGUCACAGGUUCGAGUCCUGUUGUCCCC
rnacentral:tRNA from 1 species